UAUAUUGCUAUCAAACUCCUCUACUGAAAACAGAUCGGUAAACCGUCAAUCAUGCUUGAAGAAUUACGUCGAGCUUUGCAUUACCAUGCAUCAACUUCUUCACCAAAAGUGACCAAAGAAAGUGCAAUGGAUGAAAUACGAAUGAUGCUCAGACUCUUCAGCUCUGUGUAUCAAGGUGAUCUGGCAGAAUUCAAGUGUUUGUUGAAAGCCGGAGUUGACCCAAAUUCAACGGAUUGUGAAGGAAAUUCUCUGAUGCAUAUUGUUAUUGAAAAUGGACUUUACGAUAUGGUGGAAAUUUUACUUACUCACAGUAAGUACAUUUAAGUACUUAAUACAACUUUUAUAUUUCUUUUACGAAAAAUACGUCUUGAUGUAUAACUUGUUUUUUGUUAAAAUGAAAUUACAUUGUGUGCAAUUCGAACACCAAAACAGGAGUUACUUUGCAUUAAGUUUCAUUUCAAUUUUUGAUUUUAGAUGCAUACGACAUCAAUCAAGAAGAUCGAAAUGGACAGACGCCAUUAAUGCUAGCCGUUAUUUUAGGCGAGGAAGAGAUCAUCCGUUUUUUGGUGCGGGCAGGUAAAUAUUACGUUAUUUAUUUUGACAGAUCAGACGUUAUGCGGAACCCAUGACAAUAAAAUCAUCAAUAUACACCACGCCUUACGUUGAUUUUUUAUAUAUGCAUUUACAACAGUUGUUUACUUUUUUCAGGGGCUGAUGUGAACGAGAUCAACAAUGCUGGAAAGUCCGCUCUCCUUAUAGCGCUGGAGGAUGGGAAAUUCGACAUAGCAGAGUACCUUAUCAAACAUGGAGGGGAUGUCAAUACAGUUGACCAUCUGGGUCAAAGUGCGCUAUUUCUAACCAUGAACAAUAACACAGACCACAAAUGCAUCAAACUUCUGAAGAAACUCAUUAAAGCAGGUAAGGUUUUAGUUAGUUUUUUUUAUUAUCAAAUUUGAUGACAAAGUAUUUGAUAUUCACCUUUAGUGAGCUUUCACUUUUUAAACAUUUGCUUUAUUUCAUAUGUAUUCACUUUUCUAGGUUACUCAUUCGAAAAAGACAGGUUCUGGCUGAAGGACGAUGGUUUUGGAUAUUCACUCUGUUCCUGUGAUAAAUCUGUGUCAAAACUUUUGAAAAAAUUGGAUUGUAGUCGUGCCUCUUUGGACAGAAGCCUAAGCACUCACUUCCCGUUGGAAUUCACAAAAGUUGGAUGAACAAAAAACAAGAUGAACAAAAACACUUUCGAUUAUUAUUAUUUUUGCAAAACUGUGAUAUAUUUAUCUGUGAUACCAUAUUUUCAUAUGAAUUAUGUACAAAUGCUUAUUGUGAUGCCUUUAUGUCAAUAAAAGUUUAGAAAUG
rnacentral:misc_RNA from 1 species